GGAAUAUUGGACAAUGGGGGAAACCCUGAUCCAGCCAUGCCGCGUGUGUGAAGAAGGCCUUCAGGUUGUAAAGCACUUUAAGUUGGGAAGAAGGCUAUACGGCUAAUACCCGUGUAGAUUGACAUUACCAACAGAAUAAGCACCGGCGAACCCCGGGCCAGCAGCCGCGGUAAUACGGAGGGUGCAAGCGUUAAUCGGAAUUACUGGGCGUAAAGCGCGCGUAGGCGGUUUGAUAAGUCGGAUGUGAAAGCCCCGGGCUUAACCUGGGAAUUGCACCCGAUACUGUCAGGCUAGAGUACGAGAGAGGGGGGUAGAAUUCCUAGUGUAGCGGUGAAAUGCGUAGAUAUUAGGAGGAAUACCAGUGGCGAAGGCGGCCCCCUGGCUCGAUACUGACGCUGAGGUGCGUAAGCGUGGGGAGCA
rnacentral:rRNA from 1 species